rnacentral:rRNA from 1 species
CCAGCAGCCGCGGUAAUACGGAGGGGGCUAGCGUUGUUCGGAUUUACUGGGCGUAAAGCGCACGUAGGCGGAUUGUUAAGUUAGGGGUGAAAUCCUGGAGCUCAACUCCAGAACUGCCUUUAAUACUGGCAAUCUCGAGUCCGGAAGAGGUAAGUGGAACUCCUAGUGUAGAGGUGGAAUUCGUAGAUAUUAGGAAGAACACCAGUGGCGAAGGCGGCUUACUGGUCCGGUACUGACGCUGAGGUGCGAAAGCGUGGGGAGC